CCUACGGGGUGGCUGCAGUGGGGAAUAUUGGACAAUGGGGGCAACCCUGAUCCAGCCAUGCCGCGUGUGUGAAGAAGGCCCUCGGGUUGUAAAGCACUUUCAGUGAGGAAGAACGCCUGGUGGUUAAUACCCAUCAGGAAAGACAUCACUCACAGAAGAAGCACCGGCUAACUCCGUGCCAGCAGCCGCGGUAAUACGGAGGGUGCGAGCGUUAAUCGGAAUUACUGGGCGUAAAGCGCGCGUAGGUGGCUUGAUAAGCCGGUUGUGAAAGCCCCGGGCUCAACCUGGGAACGGCAUCCGGAACUGUCAAGCUAGAGUGCAGGAGAGGAAGGUAGAAUUCCCGGUGUAGCGGUGAAAUGCGUAGAGAUCGGGAGGAAUACCAGUGGCGAAGGCGGCCUUCUGGACUGACACUGACACUGAGGUGCGAAAGCGUGGGUAGCAAACAGGAUUAGAUACCCCAGUAGUC
rnacentral:rRNA from 1 species